UGCGUAGGGUGCGAGCGUUAAUCGGAAUUACUGGGCGUAAAGCGUGCGCAGGCUGUUUUGUAAGUCAGAUGUGAAAUCCCCGAGCUCAACUUGGGAACUGCGUUUGAAACUACAAGACUAGAAUAUGUCAGAGGGGGGUAGAAUUCCACGUGUAGCAGUGAAAUGCGUAGAGAUGUGGAGGAAUACCAAUGGCGAAGGCAGCCCCCUGGGAUAAUAUUGACGCUCAUGCACGAAAGCGUGGGGAGCAAACAGG
rnacentral:rRNA from 1 species